GUACACUCCUGCGGGAGGCAGCAGUGGGGAAUUUUGGACAAUGGGCGAAAGCCUGAUCCAGCAAUGCCGCGUGAGUGAAGAAGGCCUUCGGGUUGUAAAGCUCUUUUGUCAGGGAAGAAACGGUGAAAGCUAAUAUCUUUUGCUAAUGACGGUACCUGAAGAAUAAGCACCGGCUAACUACGUGCCAGCAGCCGCGGUAAUACGUAGGGUGCAAGCGUUAAUCGGAAUUACUGGGCGUAAAGCGUGCGCAGGCGGUUUUGUAAGUCUGAUGUGAAAUCCCCGGGCUCAACCUGGGAAUUGCAUUGGAGACUGCAAGGCUAGAAUCUGGCAGAGGGGGGUAGAAUUCCACGUGUAGCAGUGAAAUGCGUAGAUAUGUGGAGGAACACCGAUGGCGAAGGCAGCCCCCUGGGUCAAGAUUGACGCUCAUGCACGAAAGCGUGGGGAGCAAACAGGAUUAGAAACCCGUGUAGUCCCAUGA
rnacentral:rRNA from 1 species